CUGAGGUUGUACGGUUUGUCCCUACGGGGCGCCGGCCACCCGUCCUUGUGUCAUAUGUACAGCGGAGCCGUGCGGCGAUGGCCAACCCCUCGAGAGAGGGGAGCGUGCCGGAGCGAUGCGGAUCCGGGAGAAUGAUUUCGGUGGAGGUGUUGUGGAACUCCUGGAGACGGGAGGUUCGUGACCGCCGCCGGCCUGUACCCAAAAUCUGUUUACAGCGAUGAAGCGUCUGAAGAAAGACAAAGAUACGAAACGGAAGA
rnacentral:misc_RNA from 1 species